UUUUUUGACUUUUAAGGUCUCUUUAUUACAAAAACAAUUAGCUAAAGCAAUUAGCUAAUUAAAAUUUACAUUACUUAUUAAAAAACAAAGCAUGUGUUUCUUUUUAAACUACUGAUACUUACAAGUAAAUAUUUAGAACAUUUCAGAGUCAGCAUGACAAAUACACUGAUUUACACCACAUUUGUGAUUAAACAUUGCCAGAUCAUUUACCAUUUUAUAAAAACCAUACUCUGCAAUAAUGCGAGAUUUUACUAAUCAUUUUGAUAUUAAAAAAGCAUCAGUUGAACCCUUAUCAUUUAUUUUAUGUUUCCUUGACAGCCAAAGUGCCAUCUUUGCUUUCCCCAAUAAGAACUUUUGUGAGGGAGAUAGUGUGGCCUUGUUCACCUUCGCGAACACCCUUGGAGCUAUGGAGAGACCGAACGGAAGCAAUUUGAACUGAUGGGUCUUCCCUUCGAAAUGGAAUCUUAGAAAGCGAUGAUGAUGACGCGCGAUUGGAAUGUGCAAAUAUGGGUCUUUUAAGUCCAUCUUUGCCAUCCAAUCUUGAGGCUUGAUUGUACACAGGACAUCGGUUAACCGGCCUAGAUAGCAGGUAGUAAUUGGCCCGAGCUCGGCUCCGACUCGGCGCCUCCGACUCGGCAUCGGCAAGUACUAUCCGGGCCGAGUCUGGCCCGCAGCUCGCUCCCGCACAUGCAUUUGGGAUGCGGCUGUUAAGCACUGGCCCAAUUCCGGUCAACCACAUCUGGCCCGAGUCUGUCUGUAGAGUCCGGGCCGCUUCUGGCAAGGACUCAGCAUGGACUCGGCAUGGACUCGGCUUGUUUAACUAAUGACAACCGUAAAAACUCCUGAUCCAAACUCCAAUCCAGGUGGUGGCGGUAAUGCUCCAAAAAGCAGGUUGCCAACCGCCACGAAGAUUACAAGAAGAAAAAGAAGUUUGUUCUUAACAUUGGAUUCCUGUCAGAAAGUCCACAACAAGAUCCUUGAGCAAGAUCAAACACGCUUGGCACAGAAGAGAAACAUCCAAAAGCAACUGUGAUGUCUCACUGGCAUACAGAUGACGACGAUGAUUGCCCGUCAUACAGCUAAAGAAACAAACAGGCACAACUAUAGUGACAGUGAUGAAGAAAAAUUAUUUAAAACAAGGAGGCUCGA